rnacentral:rRNA from 1 species
UACGGGGGGGGCAAGCGUUGUUCGGAAUUACUGGGCGUAAAGGGCUCGUAGGCGGCCAACUAAGUCAGACGUGAAAUCCCUCGGCUUAACUGGGGAACUGCGUCUGAUACUGGAUGGCUUGAGUUUGGGAGAGGGAUGCGGAAUUCCAGGUGUAGCGGUGAAAUGCGUAGAUAUCUGGAGGAACACCGGUGGCGAAGGCGGCAUCCUGGACCAACACUGACACUGAUGAGCGAAAGCCAGGGGAGCAAACGGG